CGGGGCUUAAAGUCUUGUAAUUGGAAUGAUGGGAAUUUAAACCUCUUCCAGAGUAUCAAUUGGAGGGCAAGUCUGGUGCCAGCAGCCGCGGUAAUUCCAGCUCCAAUAGCGUAUAUUAAAAUUGUUGCAGUUAAAAAGCUCGUAGUUGAAUUUCUGCUGCAUUGCUUGUGUCCCUCUGGGGUCUGUGCAUGUGGCUUUUUUCGGACGGAGUUUCUUUGUCUGAAUGUUUACUUUGAGAAAAUUAGAGUGCUCAAAUCAGGCUUUCGCCUUGAAUAGUUUAGCAUGGAAUAAUAAAGUAGGACUUUGGUUCUAUUUUGUUGGUUUUAGGUACCAAAGUAAUGGUUAAUAGGAACAGUUGGGGGCAUUCGUAUUUAACUGUCAGAGGUGAAAUUCUUAGAUUUGUUAAAGACGAACUACUGCGAAAGCAUUUGCCAAGGAUGUUUUCAUUAAUCAAGAAC
rnacentral:rRNA from 1 species